UUAAUGUUCAUAACCUGAUUACCUUGACCUUCAUACAAAAAACUUCCGAGAUUCCAUUCUUAAACCGUGCAGAAGAUAGAAUGUUACAUGAAUGUGCGCACAGAAAUUCAAUAUAUGCCGAAGCAAAACAAAACCUAGACUAUAUAGUUGCGAGUGGAACGAUUCAUAAAAGGACAAUAAUUAUAUAUUCAGUUAUUUAAUAUUUCAUAAAUAAAAGAAACAUCAAUCUAUUUUCCUCCAAAAAACAAGAUUGCGAUGUCAUAAUAUGGACUCAUAAUCAUAAUUUGGUUGAACUAUAGCGAACAUAGAAUAUUUUUCAAGUCUCAACGUUGUCUCCUUAUAAAUUCUAACAUACGCAACGUUUUUUUAUGUAUGUAUUUGUUACGG